GAGGCUGAUAUCUUCCAGAUACUGAUGGUAGGGAAUGAGCUUUUGAUCUUUGGUUUUCCAAUCACCAGUUGUCUGAAAGAUGAUAAGUGACGAAUCUCCAUAUACAUCAAUCUCAUUGAUUCUCAACUUGAGGGCGCACUCACUGGUUGUUUGUUGAUAGAUGAUACUUAAGCUGCAAAACUUCACUAAUACUAUAAUUAUUACUAGCUCUUUGGCACAUGCUCCUCCGAUUGAAUUUUCUUUUUUUGUUGAGAUAUAUAAAUUUUUUUUAAUAUUCAAAAGGUUUGAAGGUGGUUGUUCUUUUUUUAUUU
rnacentral:lncRNA from 1 species